ACCAAAGCUAGCUCAACAUACUAAACAAAUACAAAAAUACACCAAAAUAAAAUAAAACAUUCACCUAAUAUUAAAGUAUAGGAGAUAGAAAUUUUUAUCCUGACGCUAUAGAGAUAGUACCGUAAGGGAAAGAUGAAAGAAUAAAAUAAAAGUAAAAAUAAGCAAAGAUUACCCCUUCUACCUUUUGCAUAAUGGUUUAACCAGAAAAAAUCUAACAAAGAGAACUUUAGCUAGAUACCCCGAAACCAGACGAGCUACCUAUGAGCAGUUUAAAAGAACCAACUCAUCUAUGUGGCAAAAUAGUGAGAAGACUUGUAGGUAGGGGUGAAAAGCCUAACGAGCCUGGUGAUAGCUGGUUGUCCGAGAAAGAAUUUUAGUUCAACCUUAAAAAUACCCCAAAAACCCUAAAUUCCAAUGUAUUUUUAAGAGAUAAUCUAAAAAGGUACAGCUUUUUAGAAACGGAUACAACCUUGACUAGAGAGUAAAAUCUUAAUAUUACCAUAGUAGGCCUAAAAGCAGCCAUCAAUUGAGAAAGCGUUAAAGCUCAACAAAUCCACCAACAUAAUCCCAAAAACUAAUAAUAAACUCCUAGCCCAAUACCGGACUAAUCUAUUGAAACAUAGAAGCAAUAAUGUUAAUAUGAGUAACAAGAAACCUUUCUCCUUGCACACGCUUACAUCAGUAACUAAUAAUAUACUGAUAAUUAACAAUCAAUAAACCAAAACAACACUAAAACGUUUAUUAAUUAUAUUGUUAACCCAACACAGGAGUGCACCAAGGAAAGAUUAAAAGAAGUAAAAGGAACUCGGCAAACACAAACCCCGCCUGUUUACCAAAAACAUCACCUCUAGCAUUACUAGUAUUAGAGGCAAUGCCUGCCCAGUGACACCAGUUUAACGGCCGCGGUAUUCUGACCGUGCAAAGGUAGCAUAAUCACUUGUUCUCCAAAUAAGGACUUGUAUGAAUGGCCACACGAGGGUUUUACUGUCUCUUACUUCCAAUCAGUGAAAUUGACCUUCCCGUGAAGAGGCGGGAAUAAAAAAAUAAGACGAGAAGACCCUAUGGAGCUUUAAUUAACUAUUCCAAAAGUUAAACAAUUCAACCACAAAGGGAUAAAACAUAACUUAACAUGGAUUAGCAAUUUCGGUUGGGGUGACCUCGGAGUACAAAAAACCCUCCGAAUGAUUUUAAUCUAGACAAACCAGUCAAAAUAACCACAACAUCACUUAUUGAUCCAAAACUUUGAUCAACGGAACAAGUUACCCUAGGGAUAACAGCGCAAUCCUAUUCUAGAGUUCCUAUCGACAAUAGGGUUUACGACCUCGAUGUUGGAUCAGGACACCCAAAUGGUGCAACCGCUAUUAAAGGUUCGUUUGUUCAACGAUUAAAGUCCUACGUGAUCUGAGUUCAGACCGGAGCAAUCCAGGUCGGUUUCUAUCUAUUAUAAAUUUCUCCCAGUACGAAAGGACAAGAGAAAUGAGACCAACCUCACAAACGCGUCUCAGAGAUAAUUAAUGAUAUAAUCUUAACUUAAUUAACUCAUAACAAAUCCAGCCCUAGAACAGGGCACAUU
rnacentral:rRNA from 1 species